GGGGGCGACAUGGUUUCGACGGGAUCGUUGGGGCCGUAGCCGCGUGCCGAGAAUCCAGGGUCCCUCGAUAAAGUUCCCCGGAAACCACAACCGCCAACACUGAAAUGGCUCUCGCGGCCUAAACAACCGCCGCGACGCGGAAGCCCCAACGCCUGCUAGGGGUGGACGCGACGACUAGCAGGCUGGCCUGACUCCGGGUGGCCGGGGGUUUGGGCGAGACUCUUCGUGGCCGCUGGCGCAUCGGAUGGCCCGUCCAUCGGCAGUUCGAUGCGCGAGACUCAAAGGUGGAAUACGCACGUAGACGCUGCGGUGACUCGGUUUCGGACGGGGGUUCAAUUCCCCCCGCCUCCACCA
rnacentral:tmRNA from 1 species